AUUGAACGCUGGCGGCAGGCCUGACACAUGCAAGUCGAACGGUAACAGGGAUCAGCUUGCUGAUUCGCUGACGAGUGGCGGACGGGUGAGUAAUGUCUGGGAAACUGCCUGAUGGAGGGGGAUAACUACUGGAAACGGUAGCUAAUACCGCAUAACGUCGCAAGACCAAAGAGGGGGACCUUCGGGCCUCUUGCCAUCGGAUGUGCCCAGAUGGGAUUAGCUAGUAGGUGGGGUAACGGCUCACCUAGGCGACGAUCCCUAGCUGGUCUGAGAGGAUGACCAGCCACACUGGAACUGAGACACGGUCCAGACUCCUACGGGAGGCAGCAGUGGGGAAUAUUGCACAAUGGGCGCAAGCCUGAUGCAGCCAUGCCGCGUGUAUGAAGAAGGCCUUCGGGUUGUAAAGUACUUUCAGCGGGGAGGAAGGGAGUAAAGUUAAUACCUUUGCUCAUUGACGUUACCCGCAGAAGAAGCACCGGCUAACUCCGUG
rnacentral:rRNA from 1 species